GUUUCCGUAGCUCAAGUCUACGAUUGAACAGCAAUGUUCCUUCCGCAGAGUACACUUGCCGAAGCCUUAGUGGCCCGAAAGGGUUUCACCAGCGACUCUAAACAACUAGGUGGAUUAAACGCUAGUCUCCGCUCUGGGAGGCAACACUAUCAAAUUGCGGGAAGAUCCUGUCAAGUCCAUGUCACCGCGGCUCACCGAAAGGUGCAGCGCAGCACCGGGUUAACAACCCUGGGUAAGGUAACAGUCCAUGGAAUAGGGAGAAUCCGCAGCCAAGCCCCUACGACUUUGGGGGUGCAGUUCACAGGCCAAAUGGUAGUGGGCAUCUAACGGUGCUUAAGAUAUGGUCGAGUCCCAAUUGUAAAGUUGGGUACAAGUACUCUGAUUACUACAUGGAUGUAGUAGCUUGUUAAAUGCAAAUGUUCCGUAGGUGAACCUGCGGAAGGAUCAUUAAUGAAUCACAAGUCGGCCGUUCUGUGCUGGUGGCAACACAUGUGCACGUCGGUCGCAAAUCCACACACCUGUGCACCUUUGACUUUGGGAUCCGCCUGUCUUUUGACUCGCAGCAGGUCGGCUUUGUGCCGUCCUGGGUCUCAGAGUACUUUUACACACUCUGAAUGUAAUGGAAUGUCUCUGUGCUUAACGCGCAUAUAAACAACUUUCAACAACGGAUCUCUUGGCUCUCGCAUCGAUGAAGAACGCAGCGAAAUGCGAUAAGUAUUGUGAAUUGCAGAAUUCAGUGAAUCAUCGAAUCUUUGAACGCACCUUGCACCCUUUGGUAUUCCGAGGGGUACACCCGUUUGAGUGUCAUUGUAACCUCACUCCGACAACUUUGUUGAUGUCUGGAGGUGGAUCUGGACCUUGCCGUGUCAUGAUGGCUGGUCUGAAAUGCAUGAGUGCACCCUGCUGUAGCAGCGUCUUCAGUGUGAUAAGUAUCUUCACUGAUUCAAGCUCCUUCGGGACACGCUUGUCUGGUGGGCUCUGCGCUUCCAACCGUCUCUUGUAGACAUCCUUGACAAUUUGACCUCAAAUCGGGUGGGAUUACCCGCUGAACUUAAGCAUAUCAAUAAGCGGAGGA
rnacentral:rRNA from 1 species